AGAGAAACCGGCGCCGGGGAGGCGGGUGGGCGAGCGGGCGGAGGGUCGCCUGGGCCGAGAGGGCUCGCGCGGAAGAAAAGAAAGAAGCCCAAGUCUCCCUUCUUCCCUCGCAGGCUGCCUUUCCCCGAGGCCCUGAGCCUAGAAAUCUCCGCAUCGCUCGGAGAGUUGAGUUAUUUAUUUAUUUAUUUCAAAGGCCCCCCCCGCGGUUUUUCCUUUCCUUUCCCACCCACCCCCCUUUCCCGGGUCACCUUUCUAAAAAACACGCGGCGGUGCAAAAAGGAAAAAAGGGGGAGGUGAAGAGAAGCGCAUGGGGAGGAGGAGAAGGGGGGGCGAGCGGGCGCUGAUAUAUUUUUAUUCCUUUAACGCAGACCACGUCGUCUGUUCUCCCCUCUCUCGCGCAAGGCAAAGAUACACACACGCAGACACACAUACACACACACGCCAGAGAGGGUCAUUAGCAUUCCGCACCAACACCACGUCCCCACCAGCACCACGGCAGAGGCAGGUUGCAAAGCGAGGCAGAGCAGGCGAAGCACAGCGCUGCAGUCCUAGGCGCUGGUGGGGGGGGGGUGCGGGGAGCUGGAUCGGAUCCCUGGCUUCCCCGGAUCCCUUCUCAAAAGUAAGGGGGGCGCACGCACAUCCACGCGCGCGCGAAAAAGAGAGAGAGCCGGCACGCACCAACCUGGCUCCUCCGACUGAAGUGAGGCUGGGAGCCCUGGGUCUUCUUGGCAGAGGCCGGGAUCAGGGGGGAAUCAAAGGGUGUUGUUGAGGGGGGGGACCCACACCCGGGGAGGGGGCUCGCCCCCUCUGCGUGGGAGAUGUGCUCUGCUCCCACGGCCACGCGAGGAGGUCGAGGCGGAAAUGCAACGCAGAGAAAAAGGUGAAGUUUGACAGUCUCCGCUUACUUGCCUGCAAUAAUCCCUCCCUCCCUCCCUCUGCCUUCCCAACGUGCCCACAGCAUUAGAGGUGCGAACUGACCCAGAGCGAGAAAGAAAGAGGCGACCCCGCGGGGGAGGUAAAAAGACCACACUAUUUGCAUAUGGUUGAUCAUUGGGAUGUAUGCAAAUAUAGCUUGCCCAUUGCUUAGCAUCGAUCAGAAGGCGAGCCAGCCGGGUUGCAGAAGAGUGGAAGGGGGGGCGGAGUAGAGAGGGAUCAUGCCAGUCUUCCUUUGGCUGCCAUCCACCCUGCCAUGAAGACUGUAGAGAGAUGCUUAGGAUGGAUGGAGACUGGAGAAGGCAUUUUUAAAAAGCAGUGAAAAAGAUCGUGCAUCCCGCUCCCGUGUUACCAAAGGUAGGCAGUAAAAACAGGUUUUUUGGUUCUGUCCCUGUAGCGUCACGCAGGAUGGAGAGAGAGACACCACAGGGCUAUGAGAAGCCAAGCAGGGGAGAGCUUGUCACACAGCCGCUGGUGGGAGAAGAAGUGAAGUCAAAUAAACGAAUCAAUGGCUGUGGUAGUACAGGCCGGGCGUCGUUAGAGGGCGCUGCACGGGCCGGGUCCCCACCUGCCAUUUGGUUCUCUGUUGGCAGCCUGGGGAGCGCGGCGGGAGGGAUGGGGGCGGAGUAUAAGAGGAAGUGCAGGAGCCACGGAGAGCGGGGAAGCCAUUUGAGAACAAAGGCAGGUUUAGUCCAAGUUGGGGAGGGAGCAAAAGAAUCCUGUUUGGUGUUGGAUCUUUUGGCGGUAACAGUUGGAAGGUAGGGAAGCCCUGCUGUCAUUUAAGUGGAUUUAUAGCCCACCAUAUUUCAAAGACUCAUGGUGGGUUGCAAGGAACAUGGCUCCGCCUUUGACUCUCCAGGGUUUCAGAAUCAGAAGUCUUUCCCAGUAUUUCCCUCUAUGGAAAUGCCAGAGAUUGAACGUGGGACAUUCUGCACUGCUCCACCACUGAGCUGUGGACUUUCCUCCAAGCCAUCAGCUUCCCUGGCUCUGCCCAAGAGAAAUGCACCAUCCCUUUUUACAACCCAGCCAGCACUACAGACACAAAACUGUUCUAAGCUCUUCCCACCUGCCAUUUGUAAUGUGAUUCAGCAUCUGCCCCCUAAGGAUCAAUAAGAUAGUGGGGAGCAAAGACUUGAAGUGCAACCCUCCCCUCCACACAUGCAUGCACACACAUCAUUCGUAGAAUUGGAAAGCUGGAAGAGACCGCGAGGAUAAUCUAGUCCAACACCCUGCAAUGCAGGAGUCGUUUGCCCAACGUGGGGCUGUAACCCAUGGCCCUUAGAUUAAGAGUCUUGUGCUCUACCAGCUGAGCUCUACCCUUCAGUCCUCUGAGAUUCAUCUAUAUAAUUCAGGCUGCAGCAGAGAGUAAGAGAGGAGGGGAGAUUUCUUGCCACUUGCCAAGAUUGCUUGCCAACGUGCUUGCAGGAGAGCCCCAGGUGAAUCAAGUUAGUGAGCCAAAACACACACUAAGAGAAGGCGCACACACCUUCAGCUUCCCUGACCAUCUUGACCCGGGAGCAAACAUUCUUCUUUGGACCCGGGUGAGUUGAUCAGAGAGGCAUCGGUGCCAUGCAAAAUCCACCCAUAUCAUACACCCUGAGGGAAUUUUACUGGAACUCAGGACUGUUCCACCCAGUAACUCACUGUAGUUGCAAAAUCUCUUUGGAUGCCUCUCCCCCCCCCCAUGCUUCCAGGCCUGGAGAGCAAUUGCCCUUUGGAAUUUUCUGUGGAGUGCUAGAAUGGCCCACUUCUUGUUCUCAUUGAUCCCUGUUUCCUUUUUGACACAGUUUCCACCCCAAAAUUCUCCACUGAAAAUUGAAAAUAGUAAUUUCUGGGUCACAGUUUCCUUUCAAAAUCAUUUCAUGGCAGGCUGCUAGUCAAUAGCUGAAUAUGACUAUAUAUAUCAAUGUGAAACAAAGAGAAUAGGUCCCUGCCCUAUAGAGCUUGCUGCCUGUGGUUCUUUAAAUAUGUGUUUUGUUUAUUUUUGUAUAUACCAUAACAAAACAAAAACAACACUAACAAAGAAAUCACAACUCCCACUCAAUGCAAAAACUGUUUUCUAUGUGAAAUGAUCAGAUUUUGAAAAUAUCUGAUAUCUCAAGGUGUCUUGCCAUAGCAAUCCAUGUGUGGAGAGUGGUCAUGGGCAUAGCCAAGGGAGGUGGGGGGGGGCAGCUGCCCCUCCAUCAAGUAAAACAAGAGUUGUUUCUGCCCCCUCACAAAAAUCCUGGCUACGCCCAUGAGAGUGGUUGGUUGUGUUCUUUAGUAGCCGCAUAUGUAAUAAAACCAGACUAAUACAUAUUGAAGUUGUCAGUCCAGGUGUUAUGUAUAUGUGUAGUUCUAUAUACGGCCAGUUGUUUAAUUAAAGUU